rnacentral:lncRNA from 1 species
GCAGUGGCGCCUGUUUUGCUUAGUUGCGGAGCUGACUUGAUUUGUCCCCUGUUCACUGCUCUCUGUCAUGCCACUGAAUGCUGUUUAGGGUGCUCAGUCAAGCUCCGAAGUUGCGACAUGGUGAGUACAGGGUCACUGAAAACAAUGGGGAGAAACCGGGGUCUGAGCGGCGCAAACUGCUGGGGUGGGUCUUUCCCGAAACUGCUUGGGAAUCUGCGGCCACCUGUGAGGUCCCCUGAGGUCCUAGCCACUCGCGUGACCCAGCUGUAGCGUCUGAAUAACUUCACUGUGGGGGCUGCAUCUGUGCCGAGCAUUUGGCUUGUGUGUAGAGAGAUCUUUGGCGUGAUCCCAAACUCAGAGAGUCCGACUUUCUACAAGUUCUGUUCUUAGCACUUGAGAUUAAGGUGGACAAUCCAUUUGGAGUUCAUUUUGUGGAGGUUGUAAAAGGCAUCUCUUGUGCUGGGUAGCAAUUCAAUGUCAAGCUGUGAUGUUAAAGAGUAGAAUUGAUGAUGUAAAGGAUUUAGUAAAGCUUAGGAAAUAAAUAGUAAGGCACUCCAAGUAGAAUUUAGCUGAGGGAGGACUGCCUCACACCUCACAGAUAAGUACUAUGCCAGCCAGGGCAGUUAGAGGUUAGGAUGCUAGGAUACACAUGCUUGUUCACCAGCAUUGUCCAGAAAUCAUAACAAAGGAAACAAACGAUUUAUAAUCUGACACUAGGCCCAUCUCCUUAUCAAAGAGCAGGCCUCUAACCAGCAGCUCAAUGGGGCAUUACAGGAUCACAACCAACAGCAAGGCCUCUUGUGCCAUAAGGUUCAGUUUUCUUCUUGAGAAAAGCAUAGUUCUGCCACACUAGUGACAACCAUUUGAAAACUU